rnacentral:rRNA from 1 species
AGAUAAAGAACCAAUAUUUUUGGUGACUCAUAAUAACUUUACGGAUCACAUUUUUGUGACAUAUCAUUCAAGUUUCUGACCUAUCAGCUUUAGACGGUAGGGUAUUGGCCUACCGUGGCUAUGACGGGUAACGGGGAAUUAGGGUUCGAUUCCGGAGAGGGAGCCUGAGAAACGGCUACCACAUCUAAGGAAGGCAGCAGGCGCGCAAAUUACCCAAUCCUAAUACAGGGAGGUAGUGACAAGAAAUAACAAUACAGGGCCUAACGGUCUUGUAAUUGGAAUGAGUUAAGUAUAAACCCCUUUACAAGUAUCAAUUGGAGGGCAAGUCUGGUGCCAGCAGCCGCGGUAAUUCCAGCUCCAAUAGCGUAUAUUAAAGUUGUUGCAGUUAAAAAGCUCGUAGUUGGAUUUCUGUUAAUUCUUAUAUUUUAUACUACGGUAUUUAUAUAACAUUAACAUAAUUCAUAUUACUUUUUUAGUAUAUGAAAUUUUACUUUGAGAAAAUUAGAGUGCUUAAAGCAGGCAUUUGCCUUGAAUACUCCAGCAUGGAAUAAUAUUUAAGAUUUUUAUCUUUCUUAUUGGUUCUAAGAUAAAAAUAAUGAUUAAUAGGGACAGUUGGGGGCAUUUGUAUUUAACAGUCAGAGGUGAAAUUCUUAGAUUUGUUAAAGACAAACUACUGCGAAAGCAUUUGCCAAGGAUGUUUUCAUUAAUCAAGAACGAAAGUUAGGGGAUCGAAGACGAUCAGAUACCGUCGUAGUCUUAACCAUAAACUAUGCCAACUAGAGAUUGGAGGUUGUUCCUUACU